CUUAUUUUUGUUUGUUUAUUUGUUUUUUAUUUAUUUAUAUAUUUAUAUAUUUAUACGUUUAUAUAUUUAUAUAUUGAUUGAUUUAAUUAUUUAUUGAUUUAUUUAUUUCGUUAUUUAAAAAAAUUUAAUUUUUUUGUUACUAUUAAUAUAUAAGCUUCGUUUAGAAACAUAAAGCACAUUUACUUUUCAACUUUAUUAUUAAAUAAAUUAAUGUAUAUUUAUUUUUUAUUUUUUUUUAGUUAUAACAUCGAGCUAUCUAAAAUAAUCAAAUUGCAUAAUUUAUGUUACAAAAAAUUACUCCAGAACCAACAGAAACACACAAUACUAUCAUUUUCUAUGUUCUCAUGUUAAAAGUAAAAAUACUAUAUAUAAACAUAUUAUACUAAUUAUUCUUUUUUUUUUUUUUUAAUUAAAUCUAAUUUUCAGAAUCAUGCCAUCACAAAAAGAAAAAAUUUAUAAAAGUAUCUAAUCAAAUAUAGAGGAUUUUAUAAUGUGGCUAUAAAAAGAAAAAAAAAAAAAAAUUACAUGUCAUUAAUAUAUAUAUUUUACAAGCUAAUAUAGAUAGUAUUUAGCAAGUUCAUAAUUUUACGUUAUACAAUUCAUCACUUGUUAUAUAAUUUUUUUUUUUUUUUUUUUUCUACAGGGACAACUAUUUAGAUCAUUAACAUAGUAUAAUUUUUUAAAAAUAUAUAAACUAAACUAGUCGGAGUAACAACAAAUAAUUAUUUUUAAUUUUUAUUCUAUAUCAUAAAAUUUGAAAUAUAAACCUUUUUAUAUUUUUGAUUAUUUAUACUGAUUAUUUUACAUUAUUUAGUAUAUUAUAGCAUAAAUCCUGACGUUAACUCUAACUUUGAUCGAUAUAUAAUAAAGUUUAAAUAAAUUUAUAAAUAUAACUUAUUACGUAUUAGUAACGUAUUACGCAUUAAUAAUUUGUUAAUUUAAAAAUACAUUUUAAGAAUUAUUUAAAAGUAAACUCUGAUUUUAUGCAUUUAAAUGAACACGUGAGAAAUAUAUAUGCAUCCAUGGCUCCAAUUCAUACACAUGACAAAACAAUAAAAAUAAAUGUGUUUACUUUUUUAAUUAAAGCUAUUAUUUUAAUCGUUCUUUUAAAGAAAAUACAUUAUUUAUAUUACAUUGAAGAUAACAAUGAAUGGCUGCUACAUAAAUCAGAAAUAUGUCUUGAUAAAAUAAUCACAAUAUUCAAAGAAAGUAAUAGUAACCAAAUACAUCAACAAAUAAUAAGACACUUACUGGAACUUCCUGACGACGAUGAACAAUCUGAGUCGCACCCUUCAUUAUUACUGGAUGUAGACGAGUUGCAUAAUAUUGAUCAUAUUAUUACAGAAGAAGAACUUAUACAAAAAACUACACAAUCAUUACACAAUUUUUUAGAUUAUACUACUACUAAAUAUGCAGAUUUUACUUCUGAUUAUAAUAAAGAUUGGUGUUAUGAAAUGUGGGAUACUGUAUGGUGUAAACAAGCAGAAGUAUAUCACACUGAAAUUCAAAACAUAUUGAAUAAUACCUGUAUACCCAUGCACUUUAAAGUACAGUAUAUAUUAAAAACUUUUAAUAUAUUAUUGUAUAAAUUUAAUUAUUUUUUACAAGUUGUUGAAUUUGAAUGGCAUUUAAAAGAUGAACCAGAACAUUAUUUAGAAAGGUAAGUGAAAAAGUGAUUUACAAUCUUUUUUUUUUUGACAAAUAUUCCAAAACAUUAAUAACAAUGCAAAUAAUUAUAUAGC
ensembl:lncRNA